rnacentral:rRNA from 1 species
CCUGAUGCAGCGACGCCGCGUGAGUGAAGAAGUAUUUCGGUAUGUAAAGCUCUAUCAGCAGGGAAGAAAAUGACGGUACCUGACUAAGAAGCUCCGGCUAAAUACGUGCCAGCAGCCGCGGUAAUACGUAUGGAGCAAGCGUUAUCCGGAUUUACUGGGUGUAAAGGGUGCGUAGGUGGCAGUGCAAGUCAGAUGUGAAAGGCCGGGGCUCAACCCCGGAGCUGCAUUUGAAACUGCAUAGCUAGAGUACAGGAGAGGCAGGCGGAAUUCCUAGUGUAGCGGUGAAAUGCGUAGAUAUUAGGAGGAACACCAGUGGCGAAGGCGGCCUGCUGGACUGUAACUGACGUUGAGGCUCGAAAGCGUGGGGAGCAAACAGGAUUAGAUACCCUGGUAGUCC